GCGCUUGCUUCGGCAGCACAUAUACUAAAAUUGGAACGCUACGGAGGUUAGCAUGGCCCCUGUGCAAGGAUGCCACGCAAACAGAAGGACUGGAGAGAUGGCUUA
ensembl:snRNA U6 U6 spliceosomal RNA